rnacentral:rRNA from 1 species
CCUACGGGCGGCUGCAGUGAGGAAUAUUGGUCAAUGGUCGGGAGACUGAACCAGCCAAGCCGCGUGAGGGAUGAAGGUACAGAGUAUCGUAAACCUCUUUUGUCAGGGAACAAAGGCGGGGACGUGUCCCCGGAUGAGUGUACCUGAAGAAAAAGCAUCGGCUAACUCCGUGCCAGCAGCCGCGGUAAUACGGAGGAUGCGAGCGUUAUCCGGAUGUAUUGGGUUAAAGGGGUGCGCAGUCGGUGUGUUACGUCGGCGGUAAAAGCCCGGGGCUCAACACCGGCCCGCCGUUGAAACUGGCAGUCUCGAGUUGGAGAGAAGUAUGCGGAAUGCGCGGUGUAGCGGUGAAAUGCAUAGAUAUCGCGCAGAACUCCGAUUGCGAAGGCAGCAUGCCGGCUCCACACUGACGCUGAGGCACGAAAGCGUGGGUAUCGAACAGGAUUAGAUACCCUAGUAGUC